AAGUCGGAGCAAAGCGCUUACUACCACCGGGGUGAGUCCUGGCGACUGCGGGCUCAGGGACAUCGGGAUACCACUGUUCCCGGACCGGAAUCCGAGUGUGGACACGGCAUCCCGCCGUCUCCUCCGUGACACAUGCACGGGGCACCGGACACCGGGAGCGAUCGUGGGUUGAGGCUUGUACUGGGACCGUAGUGUCGGGACAACGCUGACUGCUGCGGUGAGGGCUCUCCGCUCGGCGGCUCACCUGCCAGGGAAAGGGCGAGCAUCACCUGGAUCCCCAAGAAUGACAGGCCCAGGGACAGUUGACAGCUGUGUCACACUCCGUUAUUCCAGACACGCACUUUAGCAUGCUGCGUCAUUCUAUCCCAACGUUAAACACGGGGAAACGCAAUUUCUCUGGGUUUGGGAAUCGUCCUAAACCUAAGCCACGGCUUGUUGUGACUGACGGUGAUACGUGUCUGGAGACUUCGGAGAGUAGUUAUUUAAUGCCAACCUAGGCCAUCUUGAUCUCUCUCCGGGAAAGAUAUCAAUUAUGGAUGUGGUGAUGGCAAUUCCUUGUCUCCUUUUUGCUCUAGUUCGUGCUUCCUGGAUUGCACAGAACAGAAUUAAAGGCUCAGAGGAUUUGAAUAAAAUGAGUUAGUGACAGAUACUAGGUAGGGGUCUAGGGUGGUUUUUAGGGGUGUAACCAAGAGAGAUGCAAUUUUCUUUUCUCCGGUAAAAUAAGAGAUUUGGCGAGUGCCUAUUGUCUACAGCCUGGCGGAACUGUAGGAAGU
rnacentral:lncRNA from 1 species